GAGCCCUUAAAAAGCUGCUAAUACGUUGAAUUGGGUCAAAUUGCACUGAGAGUUUCCAUGGGACAUAAUGACAGGAUGUUCUGAUGGAGAUAACGCCUGCAUGGAGGGACAUAGUUAGAGGAGUGCAGGAUUCAGAAGGGUAACAUAGAUGAGGGUAGAAUGCAGGAGGAUUGAAUACAGGAGGGUAGAAUUCAGGAGGGUAGAAUAGAUGAGGGGUAGAAUGCAGGAGGGUAGAAUACAGGAGGGUAGAAUAGAUGAGGGGUAGAAUACAGGAGGGACAGAAUACAGGAGGGUAGUAUAUAGUAGGACAGAAUACAGGAGGGUAGUAUAUAGUAGGACAGAAUACAGGAGGGUAGUAUAUAGUAGGACAGAAUACAGGAGGGUAGAAUCCAGGAGUGAUGAAUAGUGCCAACUAUAAAGUUUGGUGGAUGAGGAAUAAUGGUCUGGGGCUGUUUUUCAUGGUUCGCACUCCUUAGUUCCAGUGAAGGGAAAGCUUAACGCUGCAGCAUACAAUGACAUUCUAGAAGAUUCUGUACUUCCAACUUUGUGGCAACUGUUCGGGGAAGCCCUUUCUUGUUUCAGCAUGACAAAACGAGGUCCAUACAGAAAUGGUUUGCUGAGAUCAGUGUGGAAGAACUUGACUGGCCUGCAGAAAGCCCUGACCUCAACCCCAUCAAACACCUUUGGGAUUAAUUGGAACACCGACUGCGAGCCAGACACAAUCGCCCAACAUCAGUGCCCGACCUCAUUAAUGCUUGUGGCUGAAUGGAAGCAAGUCCCCGCAGCAAUGUUCCAACAUCUAGUGGAAAGCCUUCCCAGAAGAGUGGAGGCUGUUAUAGCAGCAAUGUUCCAACAUCUAGUGGAAAGCCUUCCCAGAAGAGUGGAGGCUGUUAUAGCAGCAAUGUUCCAACAUCUAGUGGAAAGCCUUCCCAGAAGAGUGGAGGCUGUUAUAGCAGCAAAGGGGGAACCAAGUCCAUAUUAAUGAGAUGUUGAGGU
ensembl:lncRNA